AUAAUUAACCUAAAAAUACAAUUAUACUAGCUACUAAAACUAGGAUAAAGGUAUUACCCACCCAUACCCCAAAAGACUCUAAAACAGAAGGUGCGCAGAAAAUACAAUUAUACUAGCUACUAAAACUAGGAUAAAGGUAUUACCCACCCAUACCCCAAAAGACUCUAAAACAGAAGGUGCGCAGAAAAUACAAUUAUACUAGCUACUAAAACUAGGAUAAAGGUAUUACCCACCCAUACCCCAAAAGACUCUAAAACAGAAGGUGC